rnacentral:rRNA from 1 species
ACGUAGGGUGCAAGCGUUAAUCGGAAUUACUGGGCGUAAAGCGUGCGCAGGCGGUUAUGUAAGACAGAGGUGAAAUCCCCGGGCUCAACCUGGGAACUGCCUUUGUGACUGCAUAGCUAGAGUACGGUAGAGGGGGAUGGAAUUCCGCGUGUAGCAGUGAAAUGCGUAGAUAUGCGGAGGAACACCGAUGGCGAAGGCAAUCCCCUGGACCUGUACCGACGCUCAUGCACGAAAGCGUGGGGAGCAAACAGGAUUAGAUACCCUGGUAGUCCACGCCCUAAACGAUGUCAACUGGUUGUUGGGUCUUCACUGACUCAGUAACGAAGCUAACGCGUGAAGUUGACCGCCUGGGGAGUACGGCCGCAAGGUUG